rnacentral:rRNA from 1 species
AUUGAACGCUGGCGGAAUGCUUUACACAUGCAAGUCGAACGGCAGCACGGACUUCGGUCUGGUGGCGAGUGGCGAACGGGUGAGUAGUGUAUCGGAACGUGCCCAGUCGUGGGGGAUAACGUAGUGAAAAUUACGCUAAUACCGCAUACGAUCUAUGGAUGAAAGCGGGGGAUCGCAAGACCUCGCGCGAUUGGAGCGGCCGAUAUCAGAUUAGGUAGUUGGUGGGGUAAAGGCCCACCAAGCCAACGAUCUGUAGCUGGUCUGAGAGGACGACCAGCCACAAUGGAACUGAGCAACGGUCCAGACUCCUCCGGGAGGCAGCAGUGGUGAAUUUUGGACAAUGGGCGAAAGCCUGAUCCAGCCAUUCCGCGUGCAGGAUGAAGGCCCUCGGGUUGUAAACUGCUUUUGUACAGAACGAAAAGGUUUCUACUAAUACUAGGAGCUCAUGACGGUACUGUAAGAAUAAGCACCGGCUAACUACGUGCCAGCAGCCGCCGUAA